rnacentral:rRNA from 1 species
UACGGAGGAUGCAAGCGUUAUCCGGAUUCACUGGGUUUAAAGGGUGCGUAGGCGGGCAGGUAAGUCAGUGGUGAAAUCUCCGGGCUUAACCCGGAAACUGCCGUUGAUACUAUCUGUCUUGAAUAUCGUGGAGGUAAGCGGAAUAUGUCAUGUAGCGGUGAAAUGCUUAGAUAUGACAUAGAACACCCAUUGCGAAGGCAGCUUACUACACGAUCAUUGACGCUGAGGCACGAAAGCGUGGGGAGCAAACAGG